CCUUUAUUUAAUAUGAUACAUCCUGGACAGGGCAUUUGGGAAUAUCAGGGGGGCGUUGGGUUUGGGAAUGAGGCAAACAGAAGCAGGAAAAGCAACGUCCCCUCCCCAUCAAGUUCCCAGGGUCUGAAAGCCCCAAACAGUUUAUAUGAGUAUGUUUCAACCUGCUGACAGGGGAAAACCUCCAGCUAUAACUGUUACACUACCCCAAUUAACCCUUUAAGCUGCAGUCAAUUCCAGCCAUUUUCAGUACAAAAAAAUCGCUAAUAUUCUAUUUGUAAAUAAAAAUAUGAUGAGAAAUACAGGGAAUAUUGGACGCGCAUCGCGAGGUGCAUUUCCUUGAAAACGACCGAUUCGUGGAUUAUAUACCGACUUCAGGACAUGUUUUGGACAAAAUAUUUUACUGGCUUGUGUCGUCUGGAUGUAAAAGGUUGGAUUAUGGCCGUUUUUUGUGGAAUAUUUUCAUCUGUGUGUAAUAAUGAACCCGCAAAUGUGAGUCGCGCUGUGUACGUUGAAGCUGUGUAUAGAGAACGGAUGGAUGGAUAUUCGUUUUUUGUCGGACAAAUGUGUUUUUCUCACCCGCUGUGGUAAUCACAUCUGAAAGUGGUUUAUACCGGCAGAUUCAUGAGAAUCUAAGCUUUCCAUCGGCGUAUAAUGUUUGUAUAAUCGCGUUUGCAGCCUUCUGACAUUCUUUAAAUUCCUAUGCAAAUUAGUAAGUGUACCGCCAGCGGGACACUGAAGUUUAUCGGUCUGCUGCAUCAGAUACUCACCCUUACCUACCCUUGAGCUUUGCGUCUUUAAAAGGACUUGUCUGACAUUCUCAGAAAUAAAUUUCAGCAGCUCACAGAACAAAAACUGAAAAAAGAGGAACAGGACUACUCUGGGUUUAUCAAGGUCAAAAAAAUCUGCCUACUAGGAUAUUAAACUUCCCUAAUAGGAUGCCAGGAUUUUUUUGUUUAGUUGAUACAAAAACUGUGAAAGUAUUGCAUUUGAGGUUUCCUGACUGUUAGUUGAUCUAGAGUAAGCUGAAAUUAAGACUUGAGUUACAUAAACAAGUUAAAUUUCUUCAUUUGGCCAAGAUAGCGGAGCAAGAACAGAAAUGUGGGUGAAGUGAUAAGGAAAAUGUCAUGCAGCAAGUUAUCACAGCACAGCAGAAUGGAAGGACGGCACAUUUGUGCAGGGCUCACUGUGCUGUGCUCAUGGGCUAAGGAAAGCCUGAAGGAAGGAAAGAGAGGAAAAGAAGUCAUUCUUUCCGAGCCACUGAAGCCAGACCCAGGACCAAGUUGUUUUGGGGGUAGUCCGCCCGGCAUGAGAGGCAUCUAUUGUCCGAGCUACUCCAGAGGACGGGGGGCUUUACAGUGGACACUGGACUACACAAAGGAUCUUCUGGAGCAGAUGCAGACUAAUGAGUCAUGAAGCAGGAAGCUACAACUGCUGCUUGUAAAGCGAUAGACAUCCUGCAGAUGCCCCGACGGAGGUCCUGAGAAGACAACUCAAAGACCAGGAAUGUUACACUGAGGGACGUCCACCAUCUUAGUCAUCCUAUUCAUAUCUCUCUAAGUCACACGAGGAAAAUCAUCACUGACUCUUUUAUCUCACCUUCUUUCUCAGAGCUCCCUCGCCGCCUCGCUCGCCCUCUCAGCGAGCAGCAGAGGCCCACAGGCUCGAGGCGGAGGUUUACUGAGGAAUGCAGGGUCUGGCUCCGGGUCUCGACCAGUCUGCACUCCAGUGAUUUCUACUGUUUGGAGUUUGUGUUUUCCCAGAGAAGCUUCUAGUCUGCCGCAUACCCUCUGUCCUCUCUCUAAAACACACACACACGCACACACACAGAUGUAUUCUGAAUGCAAAUUUAUGUGGGUCUAGUGUACUGGCUGGCAGCCAAAGUCAUCACUGAUGCAAGGGAUUUGAACUCUAAGUCCCAAAAUAAACUACAAAAAUCUGGGAACACGACGUUAAAGAUGAAGUCACAGCCGCAAUGACAGAUCUUUAAGAUUGUGGAGAAAGCAGUCGCUGCAAAUGCUGGUGGAACACAAAGAUUAGUCUAAAAACUAUCUGGGAAACACCUGUGUGCUGGAGUUUGUCUCCUAAAAUGAACCUCAGACCAUUUAAAGACAUCAUGUUGUAUGUUCUAUAAUCUGCAGAAACUUGAAUGUAGUUCACACCUGAUCAAACAGGAAUCUGAAUGCAAUGUGCAAAACGACAUUUUAAUCAGAACUGAAGAAGCCUCUUGGAUGAGAGGUGAAACGUCUUCAAGAACCUACAAGAGAAGUCUGGUUGAUUUUUACUGAAGCUCCUAUGAUUACAUUUUAAUCCACUACAAUUGUGAUUAUGUCCGUAUUGGUGCUCAUGAUUUACAUCCAUUGCAAGCGAAGUAGUCAGCCUCCUUUUUAAUGUAGUGAGCUUUACAGUGAGGUUAUAGAGGUUAAAGUAGCACAUCAAGCACAAUUUCAAUGCAAGCAAACAAGUUGGGUUAUGGUCAGGGUUUGUGAAAAAAAAUUUCGCUUUCAGAAGAAAGAUGAAAAGACAAAAACUCAAGGCAGUCUGGUAAAUAGAAGGUCAGCAGAUGGUUGGCCAACUUUCAAAGACUGAAAACAAGGUGAAACAGCUGGUUUUGUUUUGUUCAGAUGAAUUAAAAUCUGCUUACUUGCACCACUGGAGCUCAUAUAUGAUGUGCUGCAUCUUGUUUCUUUAAGCAGUGUAAAAUCUGACGUGCAAAACCAAUAAUUUUCCAUUUUAGAGGGGGUAAAGUGCCAGAACAUCUCUGCUCCAGAAUAUCAGGCUAUUCUUUUAAAUAUACUCUUGCAAUAUGGAGAUAUAUUGGAAAUAUCACAAUAAUUGGACCAAAGAAAAUUAUCCAGGGAUUUAAUGUAAUCUAAAGUUUGAAGAAAAUUGGUGCAACAGAGUGAUAUUUCUGUUAAAAAAUUUAACUUUACAUAAGAGAUAUUCCACAAAGUAUAGCUGUUAAACAGAGUAAAAGUGUUGUUAAGAGUUAUUUUUGGCUGAGAACAGACAAAGAGGCGGAUGUUCUCAGAAGUUCCUUGCAGGGUCGAGUUCCCAGUGGGUGAGAAGCCCUAAUUGGUGUAAAUUAGUCAUCUGUGGACCCUCGGCUCUUUGUAGGAAAGACGUCAAUGAGUUGGUUUGUCUUCUUGUCUCCGGCUCAUCCUGUAAGAUCCUCUAGUUUCCCAUGUUGCUGCCCUUGUAUGAUUUUUUUUUCAAUCUGCCUUUCCUAUUUGACAUAUUUAGUUUACUUUAACGACACAGUUCUGAAGGGACGGUUUUCAGGUGUGAGUUCAAGACUGACUGCAGAAUUUGUCUUCACUGACGUUGUUGAAACCUUGACUUGGGAUCUACGGCUGCUGGUUGGUCAUUCUGUUGAAUGAAUCUAACAUCAAGACUGCUGACAAAUAAGAAGUCAUCAGUAAGUAGUGUCUGUUAAGGAAACGUAUAGAAAGGUUGCAGAAGAUAAAAGGAGACCUCUUGAAGCCUCCUGUGUUUUACAGAGGAAGGAUUUGGUUGAUCAGAAAACAAACAGAGGAAGCUGACUGCUAGCCUGCUAUUGGACCAGAGGGAAGGUUAGCUACCAUAAAAGGAGCAGGUCUAGUAGCCAGAGACAAAGUAAUGCACAAGACCUUUUAUAGCUCCUUGCACUGCCCCUAUGUAUCCCUGCUGCAUCAUUAAAUGCUUAAACAAAUGCUGUUUGUCAAGCAUCCAAAGGUUCAGAACAGGAUUUCCCAUGAUCAUAUCAGAGUUUCCCCUCUGCAAGAGAAAGAGGCCGAGCACCGAGCAACUCAGAUGGGGAGGAUGAGGCACAAGGUGAGGAAGGAAAUGCUGUUGAUAUUGUUCAGGAUUGCAGAGCUUUUGUGUUUCAUUGUCACUGAAGUAGCUGAUGUAAUGGGAGAGUACAUCUCAACAAGUGAGACUGUGUUAAUGUAAAUGGAAUGGGCGAAGGAAAUUGGAAAACCUGGCAUGAAAGGUCAAAAUACUGAAAUUGAUGAGAGUGGUCACCAUUUUCACUUCACUGUACACACACACACACACACACACACACACACACACACACACACACACACACACACACACACACACACACACACACACACACACACACACUUCAGAGGGGACAUACUACUUGUACAUUUUGCUUUUUGUGCCCAAAAGGGAGACGGCACACCCCCCACAAUGGGACUGUGCAAGUACAGCAAGUACACACACAGAAACAGACACACACAUGGAGACAGAGGGAGUUUAGAAAACCACAAAAAAAAUGUAAUUUAUUGCCUGAGGAGAUUUUAAAAUACUGCAUAAACAAACAAUAAGUUCUUUGAAAAAUUAUAAACAGAAAAAUAGUGAGCAGUGUGGGACACACAAUGUGCCAACUGCUGAUGUGAAUGUGGUCAUUAUCAUUCAUCAUAUAAAUAUUUAUUAUUAAACUGCAUCAGCAUUGCUUGUUUGUAAAACACUGAAUGGUCUGCCUCCUGUCUAUGUAUAUCUCUGGUCUGUUAACGUCUCAUGAUUGUUGUUUGAUAUCCUCUUCUAGGGCCCCAUUAAUGGUUCCUAAUUCUCAGCUUUCCCAUUUUCAACAGUAUUCAGGUCUAAACAAAGUCAAAUAGGAUGUCUGGAGAUCCCAGGCCUUAGCUAUAAUAAUUAUUAUGAAAUAAAAUGUAUUGUGUCAUUUUUUUUGGAAGCGUUGUAAUCCUUAAUAUUUAAAUUAUUCAGGCAAAUUCACUCCAUAGAUAACACGGUGGAGUGUCAACCUACUUUUUUUCUGCUGGAAAGGAUUUUGGUGUAACAGCUAUGGCUUUAAAUGUGCUAUAAACACAAGGGUAACUUUAUUUGACAAUAUAAAUUAUUGUUUAUUAGUAGCAGUAGUAGUAGAUGUACUCAUAGUCGUACUAUACUGAGUAAUAGUAUUCACUAUCAUGAAUUUAAGUUAUAUUUAAGCAAAAUUUAUCCUGUAUGAAUUAAUUGCAGUUACAUUAUUAUAUUUUUUGAAGACAGAAUAAAAAAGAAGACAGCAAAGAGUGAGGGGUGAUUUAAAAUAUAAAAAUAUUAAGGAAGAUUCUUCCAAAACCGUGGAUAUCAUGGUCAGGUUUGUUAAGCACAUUUAAAAAAUGUUACUCAUUUAUUGAUCUUGAAUGAUCAAGAAAAUUCAGCACUUUUAUAAAUGACUGUAAAACUGUCAUUUUUAUCUAUCCAAUGUCUGGCAAGUAACAGAUUCUGCUCGGAAAAAGACGCCCAGCAUAUACGAGGGGAUGUCAAAGGUUGAGGGACACAUAAAUAAAACAUUACUAAAUAUGACAAAUAUUUAGUAAUAGGCUAUUAUUGUACAUAUAUGACAACAACUCAAAUUAUAUUUUUUGAAAAAAUAUAUAUUUUUGCUACUUUCUUGUUCUUUUAUCAUUUUGUUGAUUUUUUUAAAAUUUUGCUAAAUACAUUGCACUAUUUAUUUAAUUAUUUGUUUGUUUGUUUGUUUGUUUGUUUUUAAUUACAUUUCCCUUGAUGCUUUGGGGGCAGUAUUGGUAAAAUGAUAUUCUGCCAAUAAACAACGUAGAAUAUAAA